rnacentral:rRNA from 1 species
AUUGAACGCUAGCGGGAUGCCUUACACAUGCACGUCGAACGAGCGGCGGACGGGUGAGUAAUGGCUUGCAAACUGCCCGAUGGAGGGGGAUAACUACUGGAAACGCUAGCUAAUACCGCAUACCUACAGAUGUGACCAGAUGGGAUUAGCUAGUAGGGGGGGUAACGGCCCACCUAUGCGACGAUCCCUAGCUGGUCUGAGAGGAUGACCAGCCACACUGGAACUGAGACACGGUCCAUACUCCUACGGGAGGCAGCAGUGGGGAAUAUUGGACAAUGGGCGAAAGCCUGAUCCAGCCAUGCCGCGUGUGUGAAGAAGGUCUUCGGAUUGUAAAGCACUUUAAGUUGGGAGGCGUUACCAACAGAAUAAGCACCGGCUAACUUCGUGCCAGCAGCCGCGGUAAUAC